rnacentral:rRNA from 1 species
ACCCCAUGCCGAACUCAGAAGUGAAACGCCGUAGCGCCGAUGGUAGUGUGGGGUCUCCCCAUGCAAGAGUAGGGAACUGCCAGGC